AUGUGUCUUGCUUUUUCAGUUGUGCCUUACCAUGGAGGGUGUCACCUCCACCCCCGCCAGCGAGCUCUCUUCUCCUCUCCAAAACAUUCUCCAGAGCGGAUUGAAGCUUGGAAGGCAGGAUGGUGUCUUCGUCAUCCAUCUUAGGAAGAGAUUGACAACCAGAACCUGCGCGGUGACCAAUCGGCAUCAUGAAAAAGAGACUUUUGUGGCGUCUUGAUGUGUGAAAAUCUGGCUGACCUCUUCCAGGGGCAGCUCGCUGAGCUGAGGCAAGGAGCUGGUCAGCAAGCCCACGAUGAAAGGGGUCGGGGUGCACACCACGUCCGGCAUGGCAGAGGGGAGCGCGGGGAUGUAGGUGUGCUGCCACACAAACGGGUAGAGGAGGGUGACCACCGCGUGGCAGCACUGGGACAAGACACAUUGUACCUCCGUGCCCGAGCCGGGGAGGAAAGUCUUGAUGGUGAUAGUCCUGCCCGGAGCUGGAACCUGGGCCUCCAUGAUGGCUCUCAUGAACGGCUGCACCAGAGCGGGAGACAGAGCCCUCCGCCUCUCCACCUCAUCCAACACCUACGGCACAGGAGUCCCACACGCAUCACCGACUCCAAUAUACAAAUGUGGAAGAAACCAUCACUACGCGACAAGACGGCCCACCCGCUGAUUGAGAGGCAAUACGCUCAUGAGAUCGUGUCGGAACCUUGCUCGUGUCGGCACCGGGAGAGGAGGGCAAAGAAGACUGCUGGGAGCAUUGACUCUCCAACUCGAUGUCCUCAUACGGGUUCUCUUUGUCUGGAAGACAACUCGCGUCAUUGAAGGAUUUGGAAAGCCGUGUUGCAGCUUUCAAGCCUACAGAGGAUGACUGUGAGGGUUCUUUUCCUUCCCAAAGCGAGAUCUUGUCCUUGAUGUUGCCGCCGCUGCCGGAUACAGGGAGCUUGUUGCCCACUAGGAGUCUUUUCCCAUCGCUUCGAUGGUCCGAAUUGGGCCUACGGUGAGCCAUUGUGAUCCAACGCGCAAGAAUCACUGAAUUAAAUAGAGAGAGAGUGGUUCAACAAACCAUGUGGUUCAACUGUUAUUUUUCUGAUUAAAUAUUGGGGGAAUGAAUUUUUUAAAAUAACAAAAUAAGAAUUGGGGGG